GACGAACGCUGGCGGCGUGCUUAACACAUGCAAGUCGAGCGGUAAGGCCCUUCGGGGUACACGAGCGGCGAACGGGUGAGUAACACGUGGGUGACCUGCCCUCCACUCUGGGAUAAGCCUGGGAAACCGGGUCUAAUACCGGAUAGGACCUCUGGGUGCAUGCCUGGUGGUGGAAAGUUUUUUCGGUGGGGGAUGGGCCCGCGGUCUAUCAGCUUGUUGGUGGGGUGAUGGCCUACCAAGGCGACGACGGAUAGCCGGCCUGAGAGGGUGAUCGGCCACACUGGGACUGGGACACGGCCCAGACUCCGACGGGAGGCAGCAGUGGGGAAUCUUGCGCAAUGGGCGGAAGCCUGACGCAGCAACGCCGCGUGGGGGAUGACGGCCUUCGGGUUGUAAACCUCUUUCGCGAUCGACGAAGGUCCAGUUUCUGCUGGGCUGACGGUAGGUCGAGAAGAAGCACCGGCCAACUACGUGCCAGCCGCCGCAGUAAGAC
rnacentral:rRNA from 1 species